GAAUAUUAGUCAAUGCUCGAAAGAGUGAACUAGCUAACUGAAAUCAAUUAAAGUAAUUGAUAACAUAAGGGAAAAUAAUGAUAUUACCUUAUUAUUAGUGUCGUCCAAAUCUGGUGCCAGAAGACUCGGUAAGGCCAGAGACACAAACGUUAAUCGUCUUAAUCAGGCGUAAAGGGUUUGUAGGCGGCUUUUACAAUUAUUUAUAAAAAUUUAAAUUUAAAAAAGAUAAAUAAGUUAAUAAUAAAAGCUAGAAUCAAAUAGAGGAUAUAAAUAAUGCUUAGAGUAGGUCUGAUAUCCUUAGAUACUAAGUAGAAUAUUAAAGGCGAAAGCUUUUAUCCAUUAAUGAUUGACGCUCAGAGACGAAGGUGAGGAUAGGAAAUAGGAUUAGAUACCCAGAAUACCCCUCUCUGUCAACGAUGAAUGGUAGUUAUUAGUAAAUAAAAUUAUUAAUAACAAUGUUAACACGAUAACCAUUCCGCCUUGUGAGUAUAACUGCAAAGUUGAAAACAAAAAAAUUAGUCGGUUUCGGAGCAAACGAAGUGAAGCAUGUUAUUUAAUUC
rnacentral:rRNA from 1 species